rnacentral:rRNA from 1 species
CGUCGUGAGACAGUUUUGUCCCUAUCUUCCGUGGGCGCUGCAGAUUUGAGGAAGCCUGCUCCUAGUACGAGAGGACCGGAGUGGACGAACCUCUGGUGUUUCGGUUGUCACGCCAGUGGCAUUGCCGGGUAGCUAUGUUCGGAAGCGAUAACCGCUGAAAGCAUCUAAGCGGGAAGCGCGCCUCAAGAUGAGAUCUCCCGGGGCACAAGCCCCCUGAAGGAACCAUGUAGACUACGUGGUUGAUAGGUCAGGUGUGUAAGUACAGCAAUGUAUUGAGCUAACUGAUACUAAUGAUCCGAGAGGCUUGA